rnacentral:rRNA from 1 species
AUUGAACGCUGGCGGCAGGCUUAACACAUGCAAGUCGAACGAGUGGCGGACGGGUGAGUAAUGCUUGGGAACCUCGCUUAUGGAGGGGGAUAACUACGGGAAACUGUAGCUAAUACCGCGUACCAUAGGAUGAGCCCAAGUGGGAUUAGGUAGUUGGUGGGGUAAAGGCUCACCAAGCAGACGAUCUGUAGCUGGUCUGAGAGGAUGACCAGCCACACUGGGACUGAUACACGGCCCAGACUCCUACGGGAGGCAGCAGUGGGGAAUAUUGCGCAAUGGGGGCAACCUGACGCAGCCAUGCCGCGUGAAUGAAGAAGGCCGUCGGGUUGUAAAGUUCUUUCGGUAGCGAGGCGUUAACUACAGAAGAAGCACCGGCUAACUCCGUGCCAGCAGCCGCGGUAAUAC